rnacentral:rRNA from 1 species
CCUACGGGAGGCAGCAGUGGGGAAUAUUGCACAAUGGGGGAAACCCUGAUGCAGCGACGCCGCGUGAGUGAAGAAGUAUUUCGGUAUGUAAAGCUCUAUCAGCAGGGAAGAAAAUGACGGUACCUGAUUAAGAAGCCCCGGCUAACUACGUGCCAGCAGCCGCGGUAAUACGUAGGGGGCAAGCGUUAUCCGGAUUUACUGGGUGUAAAGGGAGCGUAGACGGCAGCACAAGUCUGGAGUGAAAUGCCGGGGCUUAACCCCGGAACUGCUUUGGAAACUGUGCAGCUAGAGUGCAGGAGAGGUAAGUGGAAUUCCUAGUGUAGCGGUGAAAUGCGUAGAUAGUAGGAGGAACACCAGAGGCGAAGGCGGCUUACUGGACUGUAACUGACGUUGAGGCUCGAAAGCGUGGGGAGCGAACAGGAUUAGAUACCCUUGUAGUC